AACCAUUCUCACCUGCGGCUAGACCUGCGGAGGGAUCAUUACAGAGUUGCAAAACUCCCUAAACCAUUGUGAACCUACCUUCUACCGUUGCUUCGGCGGGCGGGCCUAGCGCCCCCCCGGCCCCCCGCGGGCGCCCGCCGGAGGAUAACCAAACUCUUGACAUCAGUGGCCUCUCUGAGUAUUCUUUACUGAAUAAGUCAAAACUUUUAACAACGGAUCU
rnacentral:misc_RNA from 1 species